UACGUAGGGUGCAAGCGUUAAUCGGAAUUACUGGGCGUAAAGCGUGCGCAGGCGGUUUUGUAAGUCUGUCGUGAAAUCCCCGGGCUUAACCUGGGAAUGGCGAUGGAGACUGCAAGGCUAGAGUUUGGCAGAGGGGGGUAGAAUUCCACGUGUAGCAGUGAAAUGCGUAGAUAUCUGGAGGAAUACCGGUGGCGAAGGCGGCAUCCUGGACCAUUACUGACGCUGAAUCGCGAAAGCUAGGGGAGCAAACGGG
rnacentral:rRNA from 1 species